rnacentral:lncRNA from 1 species
GAAGAUAUGAGGUUAGAAAAUUUUUUGCGAACAAAAUAGAGACCAAUGCUAACAAAAACAACCAUUUCCUAACCACAAACAACAAUACGGAAAACAAAAACAACCAUUUCCCAACGACAAUGAAGAAAACCCCAAAAAAAAAUAGCCGAUCAUAGAAUGGAACCAUACCGUGCCGACUGUUGCAAAGAAAUGAUUCGAUCACAACGGUUAGAGGAGGGUCGCGCGGUGAACGUCGUCUGGAAAAGGUCGCGCAGUGAACGUCGCCUGGAAAAGGAUUUUUCCAAUCGCCGGGACCGAGGGUUUUGGUGGGUUUAGGAGGGAGCACGAAAAUGAAUUUUUUUUUUGAAUGGAAUUGAUGUGCGACGUGGCAGAAGAAGCUUCAGUGUACGGUAGUACCAUGGUACUAUUGAGCUACUACUAGGUACCAGGUACCUAUUUAAUAUUUUUUAAUUUUUUCCCAACAGGUUGCAUGCAACCGGGAACUUCUUCAGCAGGUGGGGAUGCCAAAAAAAGGAUGGUCCAGAUUCGUCCUAAGAACGGACUGCCGAGAUGAGGAAGGGUUCUCAUAAGAACCCUUCUUAACUGAUAUACACCGUAAUAAUUUAAUACUAAAGAAUAUUUUUAUAACAAAUAACAAUAGUAAUACAUAAUUACAUAAAUAGUCCUAAGACUUAUACUAUAUUAUAAAUUGGUCCAGAUAUUAUAGUUUGACAUUAUGAACAUAGGUCCGUAUUGGACCGUACUUAGUGUAGUCUUUCUAGGAAGUGUGCCC